rnacentral:rRNA from 1 species
GACGAACGCUGGCGGCGUGCUUAACACAUGCAAGUCGAACGGUAAGGCCCUUCGGGUACGACGAGUGGCGAACGGGUGGAGUAACACGUGGGUGAUCUGCCCUGCACUUCGGGAUAAGCCUGGGAAACUGGGUCUAAUACCGGAUAGGACCAUGGACUUUACGGUUUGUGGUGGAAAGCUUUUGCGGUGUGGGAUGGGCCCGCGGCCUAUCAGCUUGUUGGUGGGGUAAUGGCCUACCAAGGCGACGACGGGUAGCCGGCCUGAGAGGGUGUCCGGCCACACUGGGACUGAGAUACGGCCCAGACUCCUACGGGAGGCAGCAGUGGGGAAUAUUGCACAAUGGGCGCAAGCCUGAUGCAGCGACGCCGCGUGAGGGAUGACGGCCU